GCCGCAUGGGACGACGUGUAAUUUUUCCUAUCUUCCCUCUCUUUCUAACAAUUUGCCUCACGAUUUUGAAGAUGCAAAUAUCAAUUUGCACUGCACUGGCGUAGCUGAAACCUUAGUCGAUUGUGCACCGCCAGUGAGCAAAUGAACGAUCAAAUUUUUAGCCAAUAAUAUGAAGUAGAAGUUGAGAUUUGCAUCUUACUAACAACAGAGCAAUGGCGUACGAUUCAACCACCGUCCCGUCCGGCCUUAAGCAUCGGUAUCCUAAGAACACCAUUGUCAUAAAAUUCCUUGAAGUAAUUCUGAUGAAUUUAUUGAGCCUAUUUGGGUUUGACUUGUGUUAAGAACUGGCAUCGUGAAAUGACAAUUCGUAUGCAAUUUCUUAUUUAUUUAUUUAUUAUUACAUCAACCGACUUAUUGUCCCAAUGAUGGUUUUCACUUAAAAAUAACAACAAAGCUCGGUCAAAUAACAGUAAAAAUAAUACGUAAAACUUGGAGAAAUUAUGAUUAAAUUAUGUAUUGAAAAUAUUUUUUUUAAUUUGAAUUGAUGUUGUACACGAAAAGAAGUCCAAUGAUUUUAUCAAAAUAUGUGUCCAAACAUAUACUUUCUUCUAAGAGUUCAUUCUGUUUUCCAUUAAGAUUUUUUAUAUUUAUAAUAUACAAGAUAAUAUACGCCACAUAUAAUUUCAAAAAAAAAAUGUAAGUGAAAUUGAUUUAUGAAAUCAUUCAUUCAAAAUCUAGAACCUUCCACACACACACUUCAAAUAUAAAAAGGAAUUUCAGCCACCAAUGAACUUUGUUUUGAUUCCAACAGCAAGAUAGCUAAACACGUGAGCUUCUUCAAGACGAACUGGUUGCGUCAGACCCCUACGAACAUGAAUUCUCGUUGUCUACGAAGCAAUUUCUCCAGGAAACCCUGGAGCUACUAUGUGCCACGGAGGAUCCAUCCAAUCCUCGAUCCAAA